rnacentral:rRNA from 1 species
UACGUAGGGUGCGAGCGUUAAUCGGAAUUACUGGGCGUAAAGUGUGCGCAGGCGGCUUUGCAAGACAGAUGUGAAAUCCCCGGGCUCAACCUGGGAACUGCAUUUGUGACUGUAUAGCUAGAGUACGGUAGAGGGGGAUGGAAUUCCGCGUGUAGCAGUGAAAUGCGUAGAUAUGCGGAGGAACACCAAUGGCGAAGGCAAUCCCCUGGGCCUGUACUGACGCUCAUGCACGAAAGCGUGGGGAGCAAACAGG